ACAGUGGACGCGAGCAUCUUUGUUGUAAGUGUUUAAGAGCGUACGGUGGAUGCCUUGGCACCAGGAGCCGAUGAAGGACGUAGGAGGCUGCGAUAAGCCUCGGGGAGCUGUCAACCGAGCUGAGAUCCGAGGAUGUCCGAAUGGGGAAACCCAGCCACAGUGAUGUGUGGUUACCCGCGCCUGAAUAUAUAGGGCGUGUGGAGGGAACGUGGGGAAGUGAAACAUCUCAGUACCCACAGGAAGAGAAAACAACAUGUGAUUCCGUGAGUAGUGGCGAGCGAAAGCGGAAGAGGCUAAACCAUGGGUGUGUGAUAGCCGGCGGGCGUUGCAUUCGUGGGGUUGUGGGAUCCGUCUUGUCAAUUCUGCCGGAUUGGCCGACAGUGAGAAAUCAUCGUGUUAGUCGAAGUGGUCUGGAACGGCCUGUCGUAGAGGGUGAGAGUCCCGUAGACGAAAACAUGGUGACUGUCGUGACGGACACCCGAGUAGCAGCGGGCCCGUGAAAUCUGCUGUGAAUCUGUCGGGACCACCCGAUAAGCCUGAAUACUCCCUGGUGACCGAUAGCGGACUAGUACCGUGAGGGAAGGUGAAAAGUACCCCGGGAGGGGAGUGAAAUAGUACCUGAAACCGUGCGCUUACAAUCCGUCAGAGCCUGCGCCACUUCGGUGGGUGGGUGAUGGCGUGCCUUUUGAAGAAUGAGCCUGCGAGUUAGCGGCAUGUCGCGAGGUUAACCCGUGUGGGGUAGCCGUAGCGAAAGCGAGUCCGAAUAGGGCGUUUGUAGUGGCAUGUUCUAGACCCGAAGCGGAGUGAUCUACCCAUGGCCAGGGUGAAGCGACGGUAAGACGUCGUGGAGGCCCGAACCCACUUAGGUUAAAACUGAGGGGAUGAGCUGUGGGUAGGGGUGAAAGGCCAAUCAAACUCCGUGAUAGCUGGUUCUCCCCGAAAUGCAUUUAGGUGCAGCGUCGCGUGUUUCACUCUGGAGGUAGAGCUACUGGAUGGCCGAUGGGCCCCACAAGGUUACUGACGUCAGCCAAACUCCGAAUGCCAGAGUGUGAGAGCGCGGCAGUGAGACUGCGGGGAUAAGCUUCGUAGUCGAGAGGGAAACAGCCCAGAUCGCCCGCUAAGGCCCCUAAGCGUGUACUAAGUGGAAAAGGAUGUGGGGUUCGCGAAGACAACCAGGAGGUUGGCUUAGAAGCAGCCACCCUUGAAAGAG
rnacentral:rRNA from 1 species